rnacentral:sRNA from 1 species
UGAACUGCGAGAUGAAGUCGAGGUGUCUU